rnacentral:rRNA from 1 species
GGUUAAGCGACUAAGCGUACACGGUGGAUGCCCUGGCAGUCAGAGGCGAUGAAGGGCGUGCUAAUCUGCGAUAAGCGCCGGUAAGGUGAUAUGAACCGUUAUAACCGGCGAUACCCGAAUGGGGAAACCCAGUGUGACUCGUCACACUAUCAUUAACUGAAUCCAUAGGUUAAUGAGGCGAACCGGGGGAACUGAAACAUCUAAGUACCCCGAGGAAAAGAAAUCAACCGAGAUUCCCCCAGUAGCGGCGAGCGAACGGGGAGGAGCCCAGAGCCUGAAUCAGCAUGUGUGUUAGUGGAAGCGUCUGGAAAGGCGCGCGAUACAGGGUGACAGCCCCGUACACAAAAGCGCAUGUGCUGUGAGCUCGAUGAGUAGGGCGGGACACGUGGUAUCCUGUCUGAAUAUGGGGGGACCAUCCUCCAAGGCUAAAUACUCCUGACUGACCGAUAGUGAACCAGUACCGUGAGGGAAAGGCGAAAAGAACCCCGGCGAGGGGAGUGAAAAAGAACCUGAAACCGUGUACGUACAAGCAGUGGGAGCCCCACCACUAAGCCAGUGGUGAACUCCACAUACGCAUCCUUUGCUGAGGAUACGGUUAACGGAGCGAAAGCGACGUUCAACCGCAAAAGAAGCAGAGGGGGCUUAGUGGUGGGGUGACUGCGUACCUUUUGUAUAAUGGGUCAGCGACUUAUAUUCUGUAGCAAGGUUAACCGAAUAGGGGAGCCGGAGGGAAACCGAGUCUUAAUUGGGCGUUAAGUUGCAGGGUAUAGACCCGAAACCCGGUGAUCUAGCCAUGGGCAGGUUGAAGGUUGGGUAACACUAACUGGAGGACCGAACCGACUAAUGUUGAAAAAUUAGCGGAUGACCUGUGGCUGGGGGUGAAAGGCCAAUCAAACCGGGAGAUAGCUGGUUCUCCCCGAAAGCUAUUUAGGUAGCGCCUCGUGAAUUCAUCUCCGGGGGUAGAGCACUGUUUCGGCUAGGGGGCCAUCCCGGCUUACCAACCCGAUGCAAACUGCGAAUACCGGAGAAUGUUAUCACGGGAGACACACGGCGGGUGCUAACGUCCGUCGUGAAGAGGGAAACAACCCAGACCGCCAGCUAAGGUCCCAAAGUCAUGGUUAAGUGGGAAACGAUGUGGGAAGGCCCAGACAGCCAGGAUGUUGGCUUAGAAGCAGCCAUCAUUUAAAGAAAGCGUAAUAGCUCACUGGUCGAGUCGGCCUGCGCGGAAGAUGUAACGGGGCUAAACCAUGCACCGAAGCUGCGGCAGCGACGUUUAUGCGUUGUUGGGUAGGGGAGCGUUCUGUAAGCCUGCGAAGGUGGCCUGUGAGGGUUGCUGGAGGUAUCAGAAGUGCGAAUGCUGACAUAAGUAACGAUAAAGCGGGUGAAAAGCCCGCUCGCCGGAAGACCAAGGGUUCCUGUCCAACGUUAAUCGGGGCAGGGUGAGUCGACCCCUAAGGCGAGGCCGAAAGGCGUAGUCGAUGGGAAACGGGUUAAUAUUCCCGUACUUGGUGUUACUGCGAAGGGGGGACGGAGAAGGCUAUGUUGGCCGGGCGACGGUUGUCCCGGUUUAAGCGUGUAGGUGUGUGUUCCAGGUAAAUCCGGUUCACUUUAACACUGAGGCGUGAUGACGAGGCACUACGGUGCUGAAGCAACAAAUGCCCUGCUUCCAGGAAAAGCCUCUAAGCAUCAGGUAACAUCAAAUCGUACCCCAAACCGACACAGGUGGUCAGGUAGAGAAUACCAAGGCGCUUGAGAGAACUCGGGUGAAGGAACUAGGCAAAAUGGUGCCGUAACUUCGGGAGAAGGCACGCUGACACGUAGGUGAAGUGAUUUACUCAUGGAGCUGAAGUCAGUCGAAGAUACCAGCUGGCUGCAACUGUUUAUUAAAAACACAGCACUGUGCAAACACGAAAGUGGACGUAUACGGUGUGACGCCUGCCCGGUGCCGGAAGGUUAAUUGAUGGGGUCAGCGCAAGCGAAGCUCCUGAUCGAAGCCCCGGUAAACGGCGGCCGUAACUAUAACGGUCCUAAGGUAGCGAAAUUCCUUGUCGGGUAAGUUCCGACCUGCACGAAUGGCGUAAUGAUGGCCAGGCUGUCUCCACCCGAGACUCAGUGAAAUUGAACUCGCUGUGAAGAUGCAGUGUACCCGCGGCAAGACGGAAAGACCCCGUGAACCUUUACUAUAGCUUGACACUGAACAUUGAGCCUUGAUGUGUAGGAUAGGUGGGAGGCUUUGAAGCGUGGACGCCAGUCUGCGUGGAGCCGACCUUGAAAUACCACCCUUUAAUGUUUGAUGUUCUAACGUGGACCCGUAAUCCGGGUUGCGGACAGUGUCUGGUGGGUAGUUUGACUGGGGCGGUCUCCUCCUAAAGAGUAACGGAGGAGCACGAAGGUUGGCUAAUCCUGGUCGGACAUCAGGAGGUUAGUGCAAUGGCAUAAGCCAGCUUGACUGCGAGCGUGACGGCGCGAGCAGGUGCGAAAGCAGGUCAUAGUGAUCCGGUGGUUCUGAAUGGAAGGGCCAUCGCUCAACGGAUAAAAGGUACUCCGGGGAUAACAGGCUGAUACCGCCCAAGAGUUCAUAUCGACGGCGGUGUUUGGCACCUCGAUGUCGGCUCAUCACAUCCUGGGGCUGAAGUAGGUCCCAAGGGUAUGGCUGUUCGCCAUUUAAAGUGGUACGCGAGCUGGGUUUAGAACGUCGUGAGACAGUUCGGUCCCUAUCUGCCGUGGGCGCUGGAGAACUGAGGGGGGCUGCUCCUAGUACGAGAGGACCGGAGUGGACGCAUCACUGGUGUUCGGGUUGUCAUGCCAAUGGCACUGCCCGGUAGCUAAAUGCGGAAGAGAUAAGUGCUGAAAGCAUCUAAGCACGAAACUUGCCCCGAGAUGAGUUCUCCCUGAGACUUUAAGUCUCCUGAAGGAACGUUGAAGACGACGACGUUGAUAGGCCGGGUGUGUAAGCGCAGCGAUGCGUUGAGCUAACCGGUACUAAUGAACCGUGAGGCUUAACCUU